rnacentral:rRNA from 1 species
UACGGGGGGGGCAAGCGUUGUUCGGAAUUACUGGGCGUAAAGGGCUCGUAGGUGGCCAACUAAGUCAGACGUGAAAUCCCUCGGCUUAACCGGGGAACUGCGUCUGAUACUGGAUGGCUUGAGUUCGGGAGAGGGAUGCGGAAUUCCAGGUGUAGCGGUGAAAUGCGUAGAUAUCUGGAGGAACACCGGUGGCGAAAGCGGCUCACUGGACCGAAUCUGACACUGAGGUGCGAAAGCUAGGGUAGCAAACGGG